AUACGUAGGGAGCGAGCGUUGUCCGGAAUUACUGGGCGUAAAGGGCGCGUAGGCGGCGCUUCAAGUCGUCUGUCAAAUGGGAGGGCUUAACCCUUUUUCGCAGACGAAACUGGAGAGCUUGAGAAGCAGAGAGGCAAACAGAAUUCCUGGUGUAGCGGUGAAAUGCGUGGAUAUCAGGAAGAAUACCAGUGGCGAAGGCGGUUUGCUGGCUGCAUACUGACGCUGAAGCGCGAAAGCCAGGGGAGCAAACGGGAUUAGAUACCCCGGUAGUCCUGGCAGUAAACGAUGUAUGCUGGGUGUGAGACUAGCGAUAGUCUCGUGCCGAAGUUAACGCGAUAAGCAUACCGCCUGGGGAGUACGUUCGCAAGAAUGAAACUCAAAGGAAUUGACGGGG
rnacentral:rRNA from 1 species